rnacentral:rRNA from 1 species
GUACACAAAAAUGCACAUGCUGUGAGCUCGAUGAGUAGGGCGGGACACGUGGUAUCCUGUCUGAAUAUGGGGGGACCAUCCUCCAAGGCUAAAUACUCCUGACUGACCGAUAGUGAACCAGUACCGUGAGGGAAAGGCGAAAAGAACCCCGGCGAGGGGAGUGAAAAAGAACCUGAAACCGUGUACGUACAAGCAGUGGGAGCACGCUUAGGCGUGUGACUGCGUACCUUUUGUAUAAUGGGUCAGCGACUUAUAUUCUGUAGCAAGGUUAACCGAAUAGGGGAGCCGAAGGGAAACCGAGUCUUAACUGGGCGUUAAGUUGCAGGGUAUAGACCCGAAACCCGGUGAUCUAGCCAUGGGCAGGUUGAAGGUUGGGUAACACUAACUGGAGGACCGAACCGACUAAUGUUGAAAAAUUAGCGGAUGACUUGUGGCUGGGGGUGAAAGGCCAAUCAAACCGGGAGAUAGCUGGUUCUCCCCGAAAGCUAUUUAGGUAGCGCCUCGUGAAUUCAUCUCCGGGGGUAGAGCACUGUUUCGGCAAGGGGGUCAUCCCGACUUACCAACCCGAUGCAAACUGCGAAUACCGGAGAAUGUUAUCACGGGAGACACACGGCGGGUGCUAACGUCCGUCGUGAAGAGGGAAACAACCCAGACCGCCAGCUAAGGUCCCAAAGUCAUGGUUAAGUGGGAAACGAUGUGGGAAGGCCCAGACAGCCAGGAUGUUGGCUUAGAAGCAGCCAUCAUUUAAAGAAAGCGUAAUAGCUCACUGGUCGAGUCGGCCUGCGCGGAAGAUGUAACGGGGCUAAACCAUGCACCGAAGCUGCGGCAGCGACGCUUAUGCGUUGUUGGGUAGGGGAGCGUUCUGUAAGCCUGUGAAGGUGUACUGUGAGGUAUGCUGGAGGUAUCAGAAGUGCGAAUGCUGACAUAAGUAACGAUAAAGCGGGUGAAAAGCCCGCUCGCCGGAAGACCAAGGGUUCCUGUCCAACGUUAAUCGGGGCAGGGUGAGUCGACCCCUAAGGCGAGGCCGAAAGGCGUAGUCGAUGGGAAACAGGUUAAUAUUCCUGUACUUGGUGUUACUGCGAAGGGGGGACGGAGAAGGCUAUGUUGGCCGGGCGACGGUUGUCCCGGUUUAAGCGUGUAGGCUGGUUUUCCAGGCAAAUCCGGAAAAUCAAGGCUGAGGCGUGAUGACGAGGCACUACGGUGCUGAAGCAACAAAUGCCCUGCUUCCAGGAAAAGCCUCUAAGCAUCAGGUAACAUCAAAUCGUACCCCAAACCGACACAGGUGGUCAGGUAGAGAAUACCAAGGCGCUUGAGAGAACUCGGGUGAAGGAACUAGGCAAAAUGGUGCCGUAACUUCGGGAGAAGGCACGCUGAUAUGUAGGUGAAGCGACUUGCUCGUGGAGCUGAAAUCAGUCGAAGAUACCAGCUGGCUGCAACUGUUUAUUAAAAACACAGCACUGUGCAAACACGAAAGUGGACGUAUACGGUGUGACGCCUGCCCGGUGCCGGAAGGUUAAUUGAUGGGGUCAGCGCAAGCGAAGCUCUUGAUCGAAGCCCCGGUAAACGGCGGCCGUAACUAUAACGGUCCUAAGGUAGCGAAAUUCCUUGUCGGGUAAGUUCCGACCUGCACGAAUGGCGUAAUGAUGGCCAGGCUGUCUCCACCCGAGACUCAGUGAAAUUGAACUCGCUGUGAAGAUGCAGUGUACCCGCGGCAAGACGGAAAGACCCCGUGAACCUUUACUAUAGCUUGACACUGAACAUUGAGCCUUGAUGUGUAGGAUAGGUGGGAG